GGUUCCAUAGUGUAGCGGUUAGUGCUUCUGCUUUACAUGCAGAAGGUCCUGGGUUCACACCCCAGUGGAGCCA
rnacentral:tRNA from 1 species